UCCUGGAAGUGAAAGAGAGAGAGAGAGAGAGCCCCUUCCCAACCACCUCUCCUCUAUAUAGUGACCAUGACGUUCCACGAUAUGGAAUAUUUCAUUGGUCAAUUUGGGUCUGAUGCUCUGUCUGUGCUCCCUCCCUGCUUCU